UUUGCUGCUGGCUGCCGAUGGAGAAAUCCUCUUGGGCUGGAGAGCUGUUUUGUGAGCAACCUAUGUGAGCCAACAUGAACCUCAGCAAACUUGUCCACAGCUCCUGUCUGCUGAGGGGAUGGAGGCGGAUUCCAACACCGCUUUGUCAUGAGCUAACCAGCACGAAGAGGAGGCUUCUGUCAUUAGGCUAAGACCUUUUGUAUCUUCACCAGUAGCUCAGCGUAACCCUAAGGUGCCAUGGACCAGGGACUGAGGAGUCAUCAGGCCAGGAGGGGCUGCCGACACUCCCCAGAGCUGCAUCAAGACCUACCUGCCUUGGCAGGGAGAGCAAGGAGAAGGAAAAACUGCUUUCUCAGGAGAACUUUCCUGGCUGCCCACUGGUGCCAGUGGACAGGGACUCUUACAGAGAAGGCUGGGAGGCUGCGAGCCCUGCCGAGUGCCUUGCUCCAUUCCCCAAAUAGAAGUGCUCAGCAGUCACUGCUCCAAACAAGGUGCUUGGCAAAGGCAGCUGCUGCUUGGCAGUCUGCCCGGUGCCCCGAAAUAACGCUGCCGGCUGAGAGCAAACCUGCUGCAUCACCACUGCUCUCAGGAAGCCAAGCACCCCGUCGGGAUGGAUAAGCAAACAGAACGCAGCCCUCCCUUUCCCACAGAGCUCUAUCAAGACCAGAGCAUGCAGAAAAAGCAGGAAAACGACAAGGAAAUAUCACAAAAAUCAUGAAGCAAGUCCCUUUCGUUGGCUCCUGUCAAUGUUAUGAUGCUUCAUCUUGUUCAUAUGUAAGGAUGAAUCUCAAAGCAACGUACAGUCUCAUGGCACAGCUGAGCAGCAUCAUCUAAAACCACUGCUCACAGGACAAUAUGUAUGAAAUCAUUACUUCAGAAUGCUGUCAAGAGCUACCUAAACCCAGAACCUUCUACAAAGAUGGCAAAUACACAGAUGAAAAAUGACCAGUGCCUGCACCUCCUAUGACAAAAUGAGCAAACAAAAAUGAAUGACGUGCACUAUAACAGUGGAUGACACACACCAAAAUUCAGAGCAUCGCUUGCAUUUGGGAAGCACCCUGAGAUUCCUGGGUGCGAGGUGAGAGUGGAGGAGCUAGGAGAUGGAAAAGCAUCAGAGAAUGUCACAGAGUGUCUGGGGAGCCCUGGAGCCACUGCUGGCUGCGAGCUGGGAUUACCACCCAGGGAAGCCCCAUAAAAGGCCCGCUCUCUUCUCUGUCUCCUGCACUUGGGCACUGUUAGAGCUGCUUCUGCAUCUGGAGAGCAUCAUGGAACAGCACAUGGGUCCCUCGAGGACACCCGUCAGCCUGGCAUGUGGAACAGCUGAGAGACACCGGAAGAGAAAAAUAGGAGAAACCCAGUACUACACCCUUUUCAAGCUUGUUCUCCCCAGACUGCAGACUGGCUAUUUAUUAGAUUGUGACGUCUACAUAUUAGCUUUCACAAUUUAGCCUCUCCUCUGCAGAGUAUUUCCAUACGUAAAUUCAGUCCAGUGUGACGGACUUCAUUCGAAGGAGAACUAAAUUACAGUGAAGAACAAUGAGCAAUCACGUUAUAUUUUCUGGAAAGAAUGUUUGAUAAGAUGCUAUCAAAACAGAUGAAAUCAAACGCAAAAAAAAAAAACCCCAAAACUACAAUUUAUACUUCCCCAGAUAAUGCUCUCAGAGCAACAAAGAUCCCAGUUGCUAUCAUCACUGAAGCUCAACAAAUUUGCGGAAAUUGCUGACUGUUACAAUGAAGCAAACGUAGGAGCAGCAGUAGUUUCUGUCACGCAGGCAUUUACCUCCAGUCAUUUGGAGUCACAGGAGGUUAUAGACAGGGUGAGCAAGUCAAGCAAAACUGCGUUGGAGUUAUUAUGCAAUCUGAAAGACAAGGGGUGAGCAAGAAGGCAAGAGAAAUAGGGUGUGUUUGGUGUGCGUUAUUUUAACCCCUGAAGUAAUGAAAUGAAAAGCACAAAUGAAAAGCACGGCCUCUAGUCAUUUGGAUAUCUCACAAGCUCUAAGUGUGGAAGUAUUAAAAUGGAACCGUGAAACACAUUUUUGCUGGCUGGAUGUUACUAUAAUUAAUAGCAAUACAAACUCAAUGCUACCAUUUACAUGGACAAGUACUCUUCUCAAUUAGAGCAUCUAGCGGAUGAGCCAAAGUGUUUUUUUAAUCAGGAUUUCCAAAGCAUCUGCUUCAGAUUGAUAUUUUCAGGUCCCAACUGUAUUACUCCAACAGAGUUUCUAGCCAUCACAGUGAUGAACUGCAUUUUUUUUGCGACUGAACAUUUAUUUUCAAGCUUUUGAUGAUUUAACAAAUUGAUUUAUUUUUUUUUUAACAACAUACUGAAAUAUUACUGCUUUACUCACUAAUACUGGCACUACAAAGAAGCUGAACUUAAUGAUAGAAUCAUAAAGGUUGGAAAGGACCUCUAAGAUCAUCCAGUCCAACCACCAGCCCACCCCCACCAUGCUCACUGACCACAUCCCUCGGUGCCACAUCCACACGGUUCCUGAACACCUCCAGGGAUGGUCACUCCACCCCCUCCUUGGGCAGCCUGCACCGUUGCCUCCCCACUCCUGAGAAGAAAUGCAUCUGAACUCAACACUUCUCAUUCUAUCACUGUUCCCUAGGUGAAGAUGCUGACCCCCACUGUGCCACAAUUUCCUUUAAGGUCAUGGUAGAGACCAACGAGAUCUCUCUGAGCCUCCUCUUCUCCAGACUAAACAAUUUCACUUCCCUCAGCUGCUCCCCAUAAGACUUGUGUUCCAGACUCUCCACAGCUCUGUUGCCCUUCUCUGGACAUUCUUCAGGGCCUCACUGUCUUUCUUGCAGUGAGAGGCCCAGAACUGAACAUAGUACCUGAGGUGCAGCCUCACCAGAGCUGAGGACAAUCACCUCCCUGCUCUAGCUGACAACACUAAUUCUGAUACAAGCCAAGAUGCCACUGGCCUUCUUGGUCACCUGGGCACACUGCUGGCUCAUAAUCAGCCAGCUGUCAACUAACACCCCCAGACCCUUUUCCUCCGCACAGCAUUCUAGCCGCUCUGCCCCAAGCCUGUAGCGAUGCCUGGGGUUGUUGGGACCAAAAUGCAAGACCCAUCACUGGGACUUGUUGAACUUCAUCCGAUUGGUCUCAGUCCACAGAUCCAACCUGUCCAGUUUCCUCUGAAGGGUCUUCCUAACCCCAGGCAGAUCACUGCUUCCCCCCAACUUGGCAAACUCACUGAAAUCACACUCAAUCUCCUUGUCCAGAUCACCAAUAAACAUAUAAUUGGACCAGCCCCAAUAUCAACCCUAGGGGAACAUCAUUUGUGACUGAUCACCAUCUGCAUUUAAGACCAUUCACCACCACUCUCUGGGCUCAGCCUUCCAGCCAGUUCUUUACUCUGCAGAAAGAGAGAUCUGCCCUGCCCUACCUCACUGAUCUGGGAGCUUGCUAUUUAUGGCUGUCAGUGGCUUUCCUUGAAAUGGCCUCACCCUCCUCCACAGGGUUGACUGGAGCUCCCCAGCCCCCUCAGGACCCACAGAUAUCCAACACUGCAUGAAUGCCCCUCGAGAUGAUCUGGCACCUACGUUCAGCACAUGGUUGGAAAGACUCUGUGAAGCGUAAAAAUUCAUUUUUCAGCUUUUAAUGUAAACUACAGAAUUUAACGGUAAGAGCCCAGCUCUACCGCCAUGGUCCUUCCUGGAAAAGACUGAGGGAAAUGUGCUCAGAGACUGACUCAUCAUAAACUAAAUAGCAGAUCUGAGAGACAAUGAUGGGGUCAAACCUUUGGCUGAAGCAACAUGAAUGGACACAGAUGCUUAGGAUCAGCUUCCUGUUAUGGAGCUCAGAAUCUCACAGCACACAGCCUAUCAUGAAGUUAUGUUGACAUGAGAACCUAUUUUUAUGCUGUAAAGAAAAACUGUUUCAAGAAACUUAGGUUCUUGGAAAUGUACAUGUUUAGGAGAUUGAGCACAUUGCUUUCCAGCCCAGUGCAAGAGCACAGCACCUUAAGUAUGGGAAACCCUAAGGAAAUGACCAAGUCAAGUACAUUUUUUGGCCCAGGAUUAGAAAAAUGCAGUAGUUUAACUGAGAAAGAAGUUUACAGUACUCUGCUCCUGAGGGCUGAUAUUAUGUAGAACAUCUGGAUUCAUGUUCACACAAUAUUCAAAGGAGACAGAAGAAAGAGCUGCAGGGAGAAAAUACAGGAGGGCAUGACAAAGCCAAUGAGGAUGGCAAGCUAUAUUUAGCAGACAUGAAAGAAACCUCUUGUCUUUCUUGUGGACUCUAGAUACUCCCAAAACAUGUGCUAAGGACAGGCAUCCUUGUCGCUGGGGAGGGAGGAGCACAUGAUAAAAGCCAGAGGUUUCCAAUGUUAGAAAAUCAAAGGACUAUUUCUCUUCACUCCAAUCGCUCCUGGCCCUGUUGUUAUGGCAUUAUUUUAUAGUUACAACAGCACAGCCUUCUGUUGAGGAGAAUGCAGCAGAAAUCGUAAAAUAAGGCUACCUGGCAACAUGGACUGAAAUAGAACAAAAAACAGGUUAGGAGGGAGCAAGGUCUACUUCGACUAAGCACCCACUGCUCAAGAUAGAGACAAGCACAAUAGGGCUCCGGUCCUCUGCAAGUGCUCUGCCCUGACCUGAUUCACCAGUACCCCGAUUUGCCAUUUCCUCUGCUUGCAUUUUAUUUUGCAAGAUCGAUCCUUGUCUCAUAUUGCUUGUCUUGAACCGGAAGAGGCUCAGGAAAGGAUCAAACCACUCAGAUUCAUACUGGUGCAGGCAACAUAUUCCCACCCACAAACGGGUCCCACCUUUGCGUGCAUAGAGCAGGCUGCUGUAUGCAAGAGAAACACCAUGGCUUAUUUUCAUAUAUAAGCUGUAAAAAGCAGUUUUCACUUCCCUAAUAAGAUAUAUUCUUCCUCACAGCUAGUGUUGCAUAAAAGAAACUAAACAAAAUAUAGCCAAGAGUCUGUGCGCAUCUUCAUCUACUAAGCGUGAUUAUUCUAUAAUCAUAUGAGUGUACUAUCAAUCAGUGCUAUUAAAAGCCCAUCUAAGAAAUUCAUUUGGAAUUAAUACUCAAAAUGGAUGUUAAGCACACCUAACAAGAAAAAGAACAAAUCUCCCAAAUCUGAAUGCCUGUCUCUCUGGAAUUGGUAAUGAAAGUGCAGUAACAAAACCCACAUAAGUUACACAUUCCUCCAAUGCAAUGCACAAAUAUCCACAAUGAAAAAUACUCUAAAAAUAAAACCAAAGAAAAGGCACUGGGGCGUAGGAAGUGCUUCCUCUCCAACGACGCUUCUGUUAGCAUUUACACAAGAAUAUUUUCCGGGGAGCCUGAUGUGGAAACAGGUUGCUUUUACGCUAAGCAUACCGAGAAAAACUAAAUUCAGCAUUUUUACA